UACGUAGGGGGCUAGCGUUGUCCGGAUUUAUUGGGCGUAAAGAGCGUGUAGGCGGCUUUACAGGUCCGUUGUGAAAACUCGAGGCUCAACCUCGAGACGCCGGUGGAAACCGUAAAGCUAGAGUCCGGAAGAGGAGAGUGGAAUUCCUGGUGUAGCGGUGAAAUGCGCAGAUAUCAGGAAGAACACCCGUGGCGAAGGCGGCUCUCUGGGACGGUACUGACGCUGAGACGCGAAAAGCGUGGGGAGCGAACAGG
rnacentral:rRNA from 1 species